AAAGAAUUACGUUAAGUAUUAGACGAUUUGUCUUCAAAACAAAAAGUGUUUUAAAACAUUCUUUG
rnacentral:tRNA from 1 species